GGCCUACAAGCCUCGCAAGCCCACAGAAAAAGCUGGGCUUGGGCCGAACUUGCUUGGGCCUCGCUGGAUUGGGCUUCGCAACUGGGCUUCGGGUUGCUGGGCCUCUUGGUCUUGUGGGCUGAAAACAGAAGAUGGGCUGCACUUGCGGACUCGGGCCUCAAAUUGAUCAACUGCUUGGCUGAGCUGUUACUUGGGCUUUUCUGAUUUGAAGAUGGGCCCAAAAUUCACGCGAACUGAAUCGACGGACUGAACUAAUGUUGGGCUGCAGUUUGAAUGGGCCGAAGACGCUGGAAAUUACGGGCUUCGCUGGCGUGCGACUUCGCUUGACUCGGUGGCUGGGCGCAUGGACUUUAGUUGACCGAAGACACACGCAAGAGGAGAAAUGGGCGGACUGACUGCUGCAGGCUUCGCUGGCUUCAAUUGGCGUGGCAAAGAGGAGAAGCAGCUUCGCUCGGUGGUCUUCAACUCGGCUUUGUUGACCGAACAAAGAGCUGACGCUGCUAAGUGGCAGCAAGGCAAGGCUGCUCAGUCAACCAAAGGCUUCGCUUGUUGCUGUUGUUGAC
rnacentral:lncRNA from 1 species